rnacentral:rRNA from 1 species
GUAGGUGGCAAGCGUUGUCCGGAAUUAUUGGGCGUAAAGCGCGCGCAGGCGGUCCUUUAGGUCUGAUGUGAAAGCCCACGGCUCAACCGUGGAGGGUCAUUGGAAACUGGGGGACUUGAGUACAGAAGAGGAAAGCGGAAUUCCAAGUGUAGCGGUGAAAUGCGUAGAGAUUUGGAGGAACACCAGUGGCGAAGGCGGCUUUCUGGUCUGUAACUGACGCUGAGGCGCGAAAGCGUGGGGAGCAAACAGGGAUUAGAUACCCUGGUAGUCCACGCCGUAAACGAUGAGUGCUAAGUGUUAGGGGGGUUUCCCGCCCCCUUAGUGCUGCAGCUAACGCAUUAAGCACUCCGCCUGGGGAGUACGGCCGCAAGGCUG